ACGCUCAACCAGCUGAAGCAGACCCAGAAGCUGCAAGACAUGGAGGCCCAGGCAGGCUGGGCUGCCCCUGGCGAGGCGCGGGCUCCCCAAGAACUAGGCUUGUCCACUUUACAGAUUGGGAGGUGAGCGACGCACCCACAGCUCCGCAGCUGGCAGGUGGAAAGGACAGGCCAGGCCAGGCCAGGCCAGGGCUGUGACUCCACAGCUCAGAUACAGCAGCAGCCCCAGCCUGGGCAGCCCAAGCCCCGCACUCAGAGCAGGUAGCCCUGGUCUUGGCAGACAGGCCCACCUCUGCCUGAGUUCUGUUUGUGCCCAGGCUGGAGACCAGGGCAGGUGUGCAUGUCACCCAAGUGACACCAGCGUCUGGCCAUAGCUCACACGCACCUGAGCCAAUGUGGGGCGGAAGUGAGGACCUGCUGUCCUAGGUUUUCACACCUAACUUGUUUGAUGUCAGCGCGAGUUGGAGAAGCAUCUGCUGUUUUUCAGCUUUCUGGAGGGGUUUGUGGAAGACUGGUGUUAUUUCUAUCUCAAAUAUUUAGUAAAGGUCAUUUGUGAAUCC
rnacentral:lncRNA from 10 species